UACGAGGGGGGCGAGCGUUGUUCGGAAUUAUUGGGCGUAAAGGGUGCGUAGGCGGUUUGGUAAGUCUGAUGUGAAAUCUAUGGGCUCAACUCAUAGUCUGCAUCGGAAACUGCCGGGCUUGAGUGUGGGAGAGGUGAGUGGAAUUCCUGGUGUAGCGGUGAAAUGCGUAGAUAUCAGGAGGAACACCUGUGGCGAAAGCGGCUCACUGGACCAUAACUGACGCUGAUGCACGAAAGCUAGGGGAGCGAACAGG
rnacentral:rRNA from 1 species